rnacentral:rRNA from 1 species
UACGGGGGGGGCAAGCGUUGUUCGGAAUUACUGGGCGUAAAGGGUUCGUAGGUGGCUCGCUAAGUCAGACGUGAAAUCCCUCAGCUUAACUGGGGAACUGCGUCUGAGACUGGCAGGCUCGAGUGCAGGAGAGGAACGCGGAAUUCCAGGUGUAGCGGUGAAAUGCGUAGAUAUCUGGAGGAACACCGGUGGCGAAGGCGGCCCCCUGGACCGGUACUGACGCUGAGGCGCGAAAGCGUGGGGAGCAAACAGG